GAUGAAGAACGCAGUGAAAUGCGAUACGUAAUGUGAAUUGCAGAAUUCAGUGAAUCAUCGAAUCUUUGAACGCAUAUUGCGCUCUCUGGUAUUCCGGAGAGCAUGCUUGUUUGAGUAUCAGUAAACACCUCAACUCCCUUUUCUUUUUUGAAAUGGGAGCUGGACUUGAGUGAUCCCAACGCUUUUCUCACCGGAAAGUGGCGGGUUACUUGAAAUGCAGGUGCAGCUGGACUUUUCUCUGAGCUAUAAGCAUAUCUAUUUAGUCUGCCUAAAAACAGAUUAUUACCUUUGCUGCAGCUAACAUAAAGGAGAUUAGUUCUUGUGCUGACUGAUGCAGGAUUCACAGAGACAGCUUCGGCUGACUUUGUAAACUCGAUCUCAAAUCAAGUAAGACUACCCGCUGAACUUAAGCAUAUCAAUAAGCGGAGGA
rnacentral:misc_RNA from 1 species